UACGUAGGGCGCAAGCGUUGUCCGGAAUCAUUGGGCGUAAAGAGCUCGUAGGCGGUCUGUCGCGUCCGUUGUGAAAACUCGAGGCUCAACCUCGGGCUUGCAGUGGAUACGGGCGGACUAGAGUGCGGUAGGGGAGACUGGAAUUCCUGGUGUAGCGGUGGAAUGCGCAGAUAUCAGGAGGAACACCGAUGGCGAAGGCAGGUCUCUGGGCCGCAACUGACGCUGAGGAGCGAAAGCAUGGGGAGCGAACAGG
rnacentral:rRNA from 1 species